UCUAUGGUAACUCUUUAGGUAUUCCUUCGAUUACGAUGUAAGAAAUAACCAAAAUGACAGCCCUUCUACGAGUGAUUAGCCUGGUCGUGAUUAGCGUGGUGGUGAUUAUUAUCCCACCGUGCGGGGCUGCACUUGGAGAAAGAAAGGCUUAAAAAUCAAGCCUGAAUCAACGAGAACCCCCGCACCGAAAGGUCCGGGGGUUUUUUAUUAGCUAAUGAAUGGUGAUUAGGGGUAAGUGAUGUGUUCUAGCAUAAAAUCCUGUUUG
rnacentral:sRNA from 1 species